rnacentral:rRNA from 1 species
GAUGAACGCUGGCGGCGUGCCUAAUACAUGCAAGUCGAGCGAACGGACGAGAAGCUUGCUUCUCUGAUGUUAGCGGCGGACGGGUGAGUAACACGUGGAUAACCUACCUAUAAGACUGGGAUAACUUCGGGAAACCGGAGCUAAUACCGGAUGAUAUUUUGAACCGCAUGGUUCAAAAGUGAAAGACGGUCUUGCUGUCACUUAUAGAUGGAUCCGCGCUGCAUUAGCUAGUUGGUAAGGUAACGGCUUACCAAGGCAACGAUGCAUAGCCGACCUAGAGGGUGAUCGGCCACACUGGAACUGAGACACGGUCCAGACUCCUACGGGAGGCAGCAGUAGGGAAUCUUCCGCAAUGGGCGAAAGCCUGACGGAGCAACGCCGCGUGAGUGAUGAAGGUCUUCGGAUCGUAAAACUCUGUUAUUAGGGAAGAACAUAUGUGUAAGUAACUGUGCACAUCUUGACGGUACCUAAUCAGAAAGCCACGGCUAACUACGUG